rnacentral:rRNA from 1 species
AUUAGAUACCCUGGUAGUCCAUGCCGUAAACGUUGGGAACUAGAUGUAGGGCCUGUUCCACGGGUUCUGUGUCGUAGCUAACGCAUUAAGUUCCCCGCCUGGGGAGUACGGCCCGCAAGGCUAAAACUCAAAGGAAUUGACGGGGGCCCGCACAAGCGGCGGAGCAUGCGGAUUAAUUCGAUGCAACGCGAAGAACCUUACCAAGGCUUGACAUAGCCGAGAACGCUGUAGAGAUACAGAACUCUUUGGACACUCGGUUACAGGUGGUGCAUGGUUGUCGUCAGCUCGUGUCGUGAGAUGUUCGGUUAAGUCCGGCAACGAGCGCAACCCUCGUCCUAUGUUGCCAGCACGUUAUGGUGGGAACUCAUGGGAUACUGCCGUGGUCAACACGGAGGAAGGUGGGGAUGACGUCAAGUCAUCAUGCCCCUUAUGUCUUGGGCUUCACGCAUGCUACAAUGGCCGAUACAAAGGGCUGCGAUACCGCGAGGUGGAGCGAAUCCCAAAAAGUCGGUCUCAGUUCGGAUUGGGGUCUGCAACUCGACCCCAUGAAGUCGGAGUCGCUAGUAAUCGCAGAUCAGCAACGCUGCGGUGAAUACGUUCCCGGGCCUUGUACACACCGCCCGUCAAGUCAUGAAAGUCGGUAACACCCGAAGCCGGUGGCCUAACCCUUGUGGAGGGAGCCGUCGAAGGUGGGACUGGUGAUUAGGACU